rnacentral:ncRNA from 1 species
CCUUGGUAUGGAAAAACCUACCAAGUGAGAACUUUCAAAUUCAGAGAAACCCUGGAAUUAACAAUGGGCAAUCCUGAGCCAAAUCCUGUUUUCCGAAAACAAAGAAGAGUUCAGAAAGCGAGAAAAAAAAAUCAAAGGAUAGGUGCAGAGACUCAAUGGAAGCUGUUCUAACAAAUGGAGUUAACGGCAUUUCGUUUCGUUAGUAAAGGAAUCCUUCUAUCGAAACUCCAGAAAAGAAAGGAUCAAGGAUAAACCUAUCUAUCUAUCUAUACGUACUGAAAUACUAUCUCAAAUGAUUAAUAACGACCCCGAAUCUCUAUUUUAUUAUUUAUAUACACUAUAUAUAUACACUAAUAUAUGAAUAUAUGAAAAUGGUUUAUUCCUUUUUUUUAUAUUAAUAUAUAUGACAAAUGAAAUAUGUGAAUUGAUUCAACGUUGACGAAAGAAUAUUAAUUGAUCAAAUCCUUCAUUCCAUCCUAGUCUAAUAGAUCUUGAAUGAUUAAUCGGACGAGAAUAAAGAUAGAGUCCCGCUCCACAUGUCAAUACCGACAACAAUGAAAUUUAUAGUAAUAGGA